GGAAAUUAAGGUGUGUGUGUGUGUCCAAUAAUGGCUUUUGGUUCGGGAAAAGAAAUGUGCGGACGGGAUGGAUGGGUGUUCCUUGUGUGGGAUGCCCAGUUGUUGUGCUCGUACCUUGGUGGUUGAGCAAUGUUGGGAGAUAUCCAUCCGGUCGUAAUUAAGGACCGAGUUGAUGUGUCAUCUUGCCUAAUUCCACUAUCGUGCAACCACUCGACCGUUGUAUGGGCAACGGCUUAGCAUAAAUCCCACUAGCUGGAUGGUUAGUCCUCAGGAGUGCUGGUGAGCAACGGGAAUCCACGGAAAAGGAUUAAGAUCUUGGUGACUUGAGUCCCGGUUACGGUCUCCUGAAUGAGCCGUGGACCCCUUGGGUGUUCCGUGAGAACUAGCCAGUCUUGGCUAAGGUGGGUAAUGGCUUUGUUAGGAUCCGUACCGUCACUAAGGUGAUUGUGCUACGGUACCCUACUUGUGGGAAAAGUGUACAACCUCUGCAGAGUUAAAACCUAUCCGGGUAGCCGUG
rnacentral:lncRNA from 1 species